GGGGUGCUCAACAGAAGGGAGUGCUCUCUUGAGGAAGAUUCGCCACGACGAAAAUCUGAUUACCACACAGGAUAUAGAGAACAUGGAAGAAGCCUUCAAGAAAAACACUCCCCAGCUCGACCACUCUACGUCUCUCUGAUUUCCAAAUGUAAUCGGACUGAUUGAUGGAACUCAUGUUCGCAUCCAAAGGCCAAAGAACCACGAAGCCGAUUUCAUAAAUAGAAAAGGCUACCAUUCUUUGAACGUGCAAAUGGUAUGUUACAACAGCAAAAAAGUGAGGAGCUUAACAGCUAAAUGGCCAGGAAGCACACAUGAUGCGAGAAUAUGGAGAGAGUGUCAUCUACGGAACCAGUUCGAACAAGGAGCUCAUAAUGACUUCAUUCUUGGAGACUCGGGGUACCCAUGUACACCCUACCUGAUGACUCCUUUCCGAACCCCUUAAGCACAGAAUCAAGAGCAGUUUAAUCUGGCUCUGUGCAAAACAAGAGUGCUUGUGGAGCAGACCUUUGGUAUUCUAAAAAGAAGAUUCGCAAUACUCCAUUACGGGAUAAGGACUGACUUGGCGACAGCAGUGACCUAUAUCACUGCGUGUGUAGUUAUGCACAAUUUUGGAAUUUAACAUAGGGGAUAUCCUUGAAGAGGAUUAUUUGGAUGAUGUUUUUGAAGAACAUGUUUAUCAUGAAAAUGUUGAAAUAAAUGCAAACCAUGUUGGGAACAUUGUAAGGCAACAACUAGUUCAACGAUUUUUUAAUUAAAUUAAAUAAUGUACUGAGUUAAACUUCUCUAAAAAGUGUGAUGAGUUAAACUUCUCUAAAAAGUGUGAUGAGUUAAACUUCUCUAAAAAGUGUGAUGAGUUAAACUUCUCUAAAAAGUGUGAUGCGUUUAACUGUUAAUAGUCUUUAACUGCACUGUACUAUAUGUGAAUUAGUCUCAUAACUUUUAAGAUUGUACAAAGCUGUUUCCACUGAUUUCCAGAUUUUAGUGGAGACUUUAUGUUAUUUGAAAGAGAGGUAACUCUGUAGUUCAUGUUACAAAUUUCUGUAAUUUUAACUCAGGGGUAAGCUCCCUUUCAUUUCACUGCACUUUAAUUUUCAUUUCCGCUUUUCAAUUGUUGUGCUAUGAAUUUGUCUGUUUAAGAACGGCAAUUUGCAAUAUUGAAACUUCUUAUUGCCUAAUUCUAAACUGUAACAUGUUUUCCUGUGUCAAGUUCUAAUUCUAACCAAAAACGUGACUUUAUUAUGUUGUAAAAUUAAUAUGUAUACAUGUACUUUCUAAGUACGGUUCUACUAACCCUACCCAGGAAACUUGAUUAUGUUCUCAUUGAAUUCAUGUAUUUCUGUGUCAAGUACUGGUUCUACCCAGAAACAUGACUUUAUUAUGUUGUAAAUAUGUUGUUAAAUUAAUAUGUAUACUUUGUAAGUACUGGUACUACUGGUUAUAAUAACCAUACACAGGAAAAUUACUUGAUUUAUUGUUAUAUUCAAUUAAUAUGCAUUCAUAAUGAGUACUGGUUCUACCCAGGGUUUUUUUGUCUGAAACUAUUAAAAUUAU